rnacentral:snRNA from 1 species
GGAUGUGAGGGUAAUCCAGCUGCGACAUCUGUCACCCCAUUGAUCGCCAGGGUUGAUUCGGCUGAUCUGGCUGGCUGGGCGGGUGUCCCCUUCCUCCCUCAUUGCCCAUGUGGAUCCCCUCUGAAGCUGCGCGCUGGGUCAAAGAGGACGACGUUCCCUGAUAGAGGAGGACUGUUACUUAGUCAAGGGUAUACGAGUAGCUGUGCCCCCCUGCUAGAACUUCCAAACAAGCUCUGAGGAGUUGCCUUGCUGGAGGAAUUCAGCAGUUUUCCAGGAUGCUGUGGUCAUGGCAGUUUGGCCCAGUCC